rnacentral:misc_RNA from 1 species
AAGGUUUGCAAAAUUGCAGAGUUCCAUAACAAGUAACAGAAUUAAUAAAUUUGCACUAAAUCAAUGAUACAAUUAAUUGAACCAUCUUGUAUGACUGCCUCUAGCAACAUGGCUUGGCUUUUGUUCAUCGAAAUAUCUAAUUUUCCUCAGAUCAAUACAAAUAUUGCAAAAUGUAUCAAAUAUUCUUUAUGCUAUUUUAUAUAUGA